rfam:Triticum aestivum genome assembly, contig: Triticum_aestivum_CS42_TGACv1_scaffold_621356_7DS
CCCAUUGCUGAGUUGGUAGAAGAACAAGGCUCUUAACCUGGUGGACAUGGGUUCAAGCCCCAUGAUGGGG